rnacentral:rRNA from 1 species
AGUGAACGCUGGCGGUAGGCCUAACACAUGCAAGUCGAACGGCAGCACAGUAAGAGCUUGCUCUUACGGGUGGCGAGUGGCGGACGGGUGAGGAAUACAUCGGAAUCUACUUUUUCGUGGGGGAUAACGUAGGGAAACUUACGCUAAUACCGCAUACGACCUACGGGUGAAAGCAGGGGAUCUUCGGACCUUGCGCGAUUGAAUGAGCCGAUGUCGGAUUAGCUAGUUGGCGGGGUAAAGGCCCACCAAGGCGACGAUCCGUAGCUGGUCUGAGAGGAUGAUAAGCCAAACUGGAACUGAGAAAGGGUCAAAACUCUUACGGGAGGAAGCAGUGGGGAAUAUUGGACAAUGGGCGAAAGCCUGACCAAGCAAUACGGCGUGGGUGAAGAAGGCCUUCGGGUUGUAAAGCCCUUUUGUUGGGAAAGAAAAGAAGAAGGUUAAGACCCCGCUGUUCUGACGGUACCAAAAGAAUAAGCACGGGCUAACUUCGU